UCCCCGUUAUCCUGGGCAGUCCUCCCAGAGUUCCCGGCAUGACCCGUUGGCAACUAAGGGCGAGGGUUGCGCUCGUUGCGGGACUUAACCCAACAUCUCACGACACGAGCUGACGACAGCCAUGCAGCACCUGUGUGCAGGUCCCCGAAGGGAAGGAAUCCAUCUCUGGAAACCGUCCUGCCAUGUCAAGGGCUGGUAAGGUUCUGCGCGUUGCUUCGAAUUGAACCACAUGCUCCACCGCUUGUGCGGGUCCCCGUCUAUUCCUUUGAGUUUUAAUCUUGCGACCGUACUCCCCAGGCGGAUGACUUCGCGCGUUAGCUGCGUUACUAAGGGAUUUAACUCCCCCAACAACUAGUCAUCAUCGUUUACGGCGUGGACUAC
rnacentral:misc_RNA from 1 species